GUGCUCACUUGGCAGCACAUAUACUAAAAUUGGAAAGAUACAGAGAAGAUUAGCAUGGCCACUGCGCAAGAGUGACAUGCAAAUUAGUGAAGUGUUCCAUAUUUUU
ensembl:snRNA U6 U6 spliceosomal RNA